UAUACUUUAGCCAAGUAAGUUUUUAUCAAGAUUCCAAAAUAUUAUUGAGACAUAAUCAAUUCAGUAAAAAACUAUUUGAGAUGGACACAUCGGAUUCUAGUGAUGUUACUCCCCCAGGGUCUUACCCUAUUGGGAAUCUAUUGUAUAACUCACAUAUAACUGUACCUUUGGCCAGGCGUGUUGGCUCACGCCUGUAAUCCCAGCACUUUGAGAGGCUGAGGUGGGUGGAUCAAUGGGUCAGGAGAUCAAGACCAUCCUGGCCAACAUGGUGAAAUCCCAUCUUUACAAAAAUUAGCUGGGUGUGGUGGCACACGCCUGUAAUCCCAGCUACUCGGAAGGCUGAAGCAGGAGAAUCGCUUGAACCCAGGAGGUGGAGAUUACAGUGAGCCAAGAUCGUGCCAUUGCACUCCAGCCUGGUGACAGAACAAGACUUUGUCUAAAAAACAAACAAACAACUGUACCUUUAUAAAAAUUCCAUCUUUUAAAAGUCUAUAAAUGGAUCUGUUACAUUUUAACAAACUACUAGAGGUAAUUUCAAAUAGAUCACUUCAAAUUUUCUGAAUAAAUAUAAUCUGUUGUGAGGAUAGCAUCUUGAAGAAAUGUUAUCAAGCCGUGGUAAAAAUAUAUCUUUCCUUAUAUGUUCAACCACCAUGUGAAAUGUGUGAAUCUAGCAUAAAAUGCAGUAAAAAAAAAUUUUUUUUAAGUCAGUGAAAUAAACUAAGUAAAUUUUUCAAGAGAAU
rnacentral:lncRNA from 1 species